rnacentral:rRNA from 1 species
AUUGAACGCUGGCGGCAUGCCUUACACAUGCAAGUCGAACGGCAGCACGGGAGCAAUCCUGGUGGCGAGUGGCGAGCGGGUGAGUAAUAUAUCGGAACGUGCCCAGUAGUGGGGGAUAGCCCGGCGAAAGCCGGAUUAAUACCGCAUACGACCUGAGGGUGAAGGCGGGGGAUCGCAAGACCUCGCGCUAUUGGAGCGGCCGAUAUCAGAUUAGCUUGUUGGUGGGGUAAAAGCCUACCAAGGCGACGAUCUGUAGCUGGUCUGAGAGGACGACCAGCCACACUGGGACUGAGACACGGCCAAGACGCCUACGUGAGGCAGCAGUGGGGAAUUUUGGACAAUGGGCGCAAGCCUGAUCCAGCCAUGCCGCGUGCGGGAAGAAGGCCUUCGGGUUGUAAACCGCUUUUGUCAGGGAAGAAACGGCUCUUGAUAAUACCGAGAGCUAAUGACGGUACCUGAAGAAUAAGCACCGGCUAACUACGUGCCAGCCGCCGCGGUAA